GAUGAACGCUAGCGGCAGGCUUAACACAUGCAAGUCAAGGGGUAUGGUUCUUCGGAACCAGAGACCGGCGCACGGGUGCGUAACGCGUAUGCAAUCUACCUUUUUACAGAGGGAUAGCCCAGAGAAAUUUGGAUUAAUACCUCAUAGUAUAACAUGACCGCAUGGUCGAGUUAUUAAAGUCACAACGGUAAAAGAUGAGC
rnacentral:rRNA from 1 species